rnacentral:rRNA from 1 species
AAGAGAGCUUGAUUGCAAGACAUACAGGUCGAGCAAGGAUGAAAAUCGGACUUAGUGAUCCGGUGGUUCUGCGUGGAAGGGCCAUCGCUCAACGGAUAAAAGCUACCCUGGGGAUAACAGGCUUAUCUCCCCCAAGAGUCCACAGCGACGGGGAGGUUUGGCACCUCGAUGUCGGCUCAUCACAUCCUGGGGCUGUAGUAGGUCCCAAGGGUUGGGCUGUUCGCCCAUUAAAGUGGUACGCGAGCUGGGUUCAGAACGUCGUGGGACAGUUCGGUCCCUAUCCGUCGCAGGCGUAGGAAAUUUGAGAAGACCUGUCCUUAGUACGAGAGGACCGGGAUGGACGUACCUCUGGUGUACCAGUUGUCCUGCCAAGGGCAUGGCUGGGUAGCUAUGUACGGAAUGGAUAAG